CUUCGGAGAGCAUCUUGUCCUCCUUUUAUAAAGAAAGCUUGCUUAAGCCUUAAGGAAAGAUUAUUUAGACCGUUAGAGAUCUGUUAGGCCGUUAAAGAUCUGUUAGGCUAUUAGGUUAUUAGAGAUCCAUUAGACCGUUAGAGAUCUGCUAGGUCAUUAAGUUAUUGUAACAGAAUGGCCAGCUGUGUAGAGGUCGUGGGGCAGCUAUCCAC
rnacentral:lncRNA from 1 species